rnacentral:lncRNA from 1 species
AGCACGCAUCCUCGCAGGAAACAAAUAACAGCUCCACAGGAGUGGCUAAAAGAGAGGAUUAAGGGCAGGGCACAGAAAGGAGAGAAGCUUUCCAGGGAUGAAGUUACUACUGUUACCAUCACUGACUACAAAUGAAGAAACAGGCUGAGAGAACCACGGCCCUGCCAUGUCCCAAGGCAUUUGGCCUGUCCUGGUAGUGACCUUCCAAAACACAGCCCCCUCAGAGACCAUCAGAACUCAGUCCAAAUGGGGCCUGGAGGAAUUCUCCUGAUAUUAGAGCACCUCAUCCACCCCACACCCUCCGUCAUCGCUCUGGGACCUCGUUGCUGACCCUGGAAGACUGAGCACCACCCAGUAUGAAACUCCCCUCUGGAUGGAUGGCCUCUGGAUUGGUAACAGAAUGGAUUCCAGGGCCUCUGAGGAAAGCAGGAAGCCUGGGGACUUGGCAGUCUCCCAAGGAGAUGGGCCUCCUCACUGCGAGUGGAUGAAGACCUUUAGGAUGACCCACUUCCUCUUCAUCAAUAGAGUGGCUCCUUGGUCCCCACCCUGUCCCUCCUGCUGGAGAUGCUGCAUACAAGGGCAUGAUGUCUGGAGUUCGAGCAUCCAUGUUGCCACCAUGAGGCAAGAAGUAUGAGGACACAAUUUCACUGGGCGGAAGAAUGACAAAGUCUGGAUUCUUGAUAUACUGUUGUCGUCUGAAGUUGCCUGGGACCGUAUAUUUCUGGUUAUCUGGUUACAUGAGCAAUACAUAUUCUUCUGGUUAAG